rnacentral:rRNA from 1 species
CAGCAGCCGCGGUAAUUCGUAGGUCCCGAGCGUUGUCCGGAUUUAUUGGGCGUAAAGCGAGCGCAGGCGGUUUGAUAAGUCUGAGGUUAAAGGCUGUGGCUCAACCAUAGUUCGCUUUGGAAACUGUCAAACUUGAGUGCAGAAGGGGAGAGUGGAAUUCCAUGUGUAGCGGUGAAAUGCGUAGAUAUAUGGAGGAACACCGGUGGCGAAAGCGGCUCUCUGGUCUGUAACUGACGCUGAGGCUCGAAAGCGUGGGGAGCGAACAGGAUUAGAUACCCCUGUAGUCCCUGUCUCUUAUACC